GAUGAACGCUGGCGGCGUGCCUAAUACAUGCAAGUCGAGCGAACGGACGAGAAGCUUGCUUCUCUGAUGUUAGCGGCGGACGGGUGAGUAACACGUGGAUAACCUACCUAUAAGACUGGGAUAGCUUCGGGAAACCGUAGCUAAUACCGGAUAAUAUUUUGAACCGCAUGGUUCAACAGUGAAAGACGGUCUUGCUGUCACUUAUAGAUGGAUCCGCGCUGCAUUAGCUAGUUGGUAAGGUAACGGCUUACCAAGGCAACGAUGCAUAGCCGACCUGAGAGGGUGAUCGGCCACACUGGAACUGAGACACGGUCCAGACUCCUACGGGAGGCAGCAGUAGGGAAUCUUCCGCAAUGGGCGAAAGCCUGACGGAGCAACGCCGCGUGAGUGAUGAAGGUCUUCGGAUCGUAAAACUCUGUUAUUAGGGAAGAACAUAUGUGUAAGUAACUGUGCACAUCUUGACGGUACCUAAUCAGAAAGCCACGGCUAACUACGUG
rnacentral:rRNA from 1 species